rnacentral:rRNA from 1 species
AGUGAACGCUGGCGGCAGGCCUAACACAUGCAAGUCGAACGGCAGCACAGUGAGAGCUUGCUCUUAUGAGUGGCGAGUGGCGGACGGGUGAGGAAUACAUCGGAAUCUACUCUUUCGUGGGGGAUAACGUAGGGAAACUUACGCUAAUACCGCAUACGACCUACGGGUGAAAGCGGAGGACCUUCGGGCUUCGCGCGAUUGAAUGAGCCGAUGUCGGAUUAGCUAGUUGGCGGGGUAAAGGCCCACCAAGGCGACGAUCCGUAGCUGGUCUGAGAGGAUGAUCAGCCACACUGGAACUGAGACACGGUCCAGACUCCUACGGGAGGCAGCAGUGGGGAAUAUUGGACAAUGGGCGCAAGCCUGAUCCAGCCAUGCCGCGUGGGUGAAGAAGGCCUUCGGGUUGUAAAGCCCUUUUGUUGGGAAAGAAAAGCAGUCGGUUAAUACCCGAUUGUUCUGACGGUACCCAAAGAAUAAGCACCGGCUAACUUCGUGCCAGCAGCCGCGGUAAUACGAAGGGUGCAAGCGUUACUCGGAAUUACUGGGCGUAAAGCGUGCGUAGGUGGUGGUUUAAGUCUGUUGUGAAAGCCCUGGGCUCAACCUGGGAAUUGCAGUGGAUACUGGGUCACUAGAGUGUGGUAGAGGGUAGCGGAAUUCCCGGUGUAGCAGUGAAAUGCGUAGAGAUCGGGAGGAACAUCCGUGGCGAAGGCGGCUACCUGGACCAACACUGACACUGAGGCACGAAAGCGUGGGGAGCAAACAGG